rnacentral:sRNA from 1 species
CGGCGAGUGUAUGACUUAUUCUAGCAGCCGGCGUC